AUUGGCUUUGGCCACCUGUGGCUUUGUCCGUGGCCCAAGUGAGACUCGCCACCCAGAACCGCCAAUGACUUCAGCUCACCACCCACAUCGGUGCAUGAAGGUGAAAGCCAGGCCCCCACACGC
ensembl:snoRNA